rnacentral:lncRNA from 1 species
CCAGCGCCUUGCCUUCCACCUGCACUUCAUCCCACGCUACCACUGAUGGUAAUAUGAAGAUGAUAUGAUCAUCAUGAUGCCAGCACGUGCCCUGCUCUAAUCAUGUCCCCAAAGAGAUUAGGACUCAGACACGCACAGAGGAAAGACCAUGUGAGGACACAGGGAGAAGGUGGCAUUUACAAGUCAAGAAGAGAGGUCUCCAAAGAAACCCAACCCUGCCAACACUGUGAUCUAGGACUUCCAGCCUUCAGAACUGAGAGCAAAUAAAUGUGUUGUUUAAGCCCCCAGCCUGCGGUCCUCUGUUA